rnacentral:rRNA from 1 species
UACAGAGGUCUCAAGCGUUGUUCGGAUUCAUUGGGCGUAAAGGGUGUGUAGGUGGCGCCGUAAGUCGGGUGUGAAAUUUCGGAGCUUAACUCCGAAACUGCAUUCGAUACUGCGGUGCUUGAGGACUGGAGAGGAGACUGGAAUUCAUGGUAUAGCAGUGAAAUGCGUAGAGAUCAUGAGGAAGACCAGUGGCGAAGGCGAGUCUCUGGACGACACCUGACACUGAGGCACGAAAGCCAGGGGAGCAAACAGG